rnacentral:rRNA from 1 species
UACGUACCGUACGAACGUUAUUCGGAAUUACUGGGCUUAAAGGGUUUGUAGGCGGCCUUGUAAGUCAGGUGUGAAAUCCCUCGGCUCAACCGAGGAACAGCGCUUGAUACUGCAAGGCUUGAGGGAGACAGGGGUAAGCGGAACUGAUGGUGGAGCGGUGAAAUGCGUUGAUAUCAUCAGGAACACCGGUGGCGAAAGCGGCUUCCUGGUCCAGCACCGACGUUCAGGCACGAAAGCGUGGGGAGCAAACAGG